GGGCGCUUAGCUCAGUUGGCUAGAGCAUCUCGUUUACACCGAGGAGGUCGGGGGUUCGAAUCCCUCAGCGCCCACCA
rnacentral:tRNA from 1 species